rnacentral:rRNA from 1 species
UGGGGAUGACGUCAAGUCCUCAUGGCCCUUACAGGCUGGGCUACACACGUGCUACAAUGGCAUCUACAGUGGGCAGCUAUUCCGCAAGGAUGCGCUAAUCUCCAAAAGAUGUCUCAGUUCGGAUUGUCCUCUGCAACUCGAGGGCAUGAAGGCGGAAUCGCUAGUAAUCGCGGAUCAGCAUGCCGCGGUGAAUACGUUCCCAGGCCUU